UAAAGCAAAUAGAAGCGAUUAUUGAGCUGUGGCAUCAAGUUUACAUAUAAGUUCUGACAGUUAUGUCUCUUAAAAUUUAUAGCCUGUGCAGGUGCACAGGUCUAUGGGCUAGUUUACGAAAUUUUCUGGUACAUAUUGUCUAGUUUUGGUUUUGACUCGUAUCAUCUUCAGUUAUGCUUGUGCAGAUUGAAAAUUUAUCAUGCAAUUAAAAAUAAGAAAACAAACCUGAACUUAGAUUCAUUAUUAAAUUGAAAUAUUAUGCCAGCAUACUUCGUGCAAAAACUUUUACCUAUCAGGAGCAUCUUUUUAAAAGUUUGGUGGGUACCGGUAACUGAACCAUAAGAUAGGUACCAUUUAUAGUUGAAAUUUGUAGUGAUCUAAAGAUUAAUGAAAUUUGUCCUAUUAAGACCCAACAUGAUGAAAUGUUGUUAUCUAAUAAUUUGCUUGUAUAUUCAAAAAAAGGAGUUCAUUCAAAACAUCAUGUUGCUACUCGUAUACAGGUCUGUGUUUCAGCAUACUGUGGGAUGACUUGAAAUACUAGUUGUUAACACCUAGGUUUUCUACUUCAAAAGCCUACUUAUUAUUGAGUUGCAUGCACCAACCAAUUCAACCCAAAAGCUUAAGUUGAUGGAGAGAUCUCUCGUGCCUCAGACGUGGAAUAAGAGCGAGCAGCAAUUAUUUUAUUUAAUUACGCUAACCAGGAUUCGAACUCGAGACCUCUAGCUUAUUGAGUUGCAUGCACUGACCAGUUCAACCCAAAAGCUUAAGCUAAUGGGGAAAGGUGGGAAAUUCACUUAUAUUCCAACACUUAUGCUUUUCUAUUUAUAUGUGAUCUUAUCUGCAUCUACUGUAUAGUAUGUGCUACUAUUUGUUCUGGCCCUGCCUAUCGACCUCCUAUAAGUGAAUUAGUAAUUUUUGUAUAUUAUCUGCAUUGUGGACAAGCAUUUGUUCUGUUUGAUGUAAGAUGACUUAUCUUAUUACAGAAGUUCAUGGUUCAAUUUAUUAUUUCAUUUUUUUGUUUUGCAGAAUGAUUUCUACUGUGUAGGGUUCCUGAAUGGUGGGUUACAAACCAAGGAUGGGAAAAAUAUGGUUUUCUUGGGAGAUCUGGUUCUCUCAAAUAAACUAGUGGUUUACAACUUGGAAAAUCAAGUUAUUGGAUGGACAGACUACAACUGUUCCUCGAGCAUAGAAAUUAAGGAUGACAUGACUGGAUUUACUUACACUGUUGAUGCACAUAAUAUCUCCUCUGGGUGGAGAUUCCAAUGGCACAAGUCCUUGGUUCUGUUGUUAGUAACAACAAUCUGAAGCUAUUUAAUGUUCUAACCUGACCUUGAACUCUCGGAUGCAGAAUAUGGAAGCUGUAUUAUGUAACAAACAUUGUCUGAGUUUUUUGUUCUUAGAAAAAAAGGAAGAGGUAGGGGAGUGAUUUGAUCUAGUUACAGAAAUUCCCAAAAUUGUAAAGUAUAGCAAAUAGGCUUGCAAACUAGAUAUGAAUGAUGUUGGGUUAAUGCUAGGUUCUCAUUGCUUUCAUAUAAUGUAAUCAGCAACCUGCAACCCUCAUCAGGUGGAAUUGAAGCUUGGGUCGUUGUGCAAUUUUGCUUGCGUUUGUGUAGGAGAAUAGAGUUGGUGUAUAAUGGAUUUAUUGCAUUGAGCCUCUCGGAAAGUAUAUAUGAGAGUUACAAGACUUGGGAAUCAAGACAUCACAAGGAAUCAGUGAAAAGCACUAGCAAUCAAAGAACAUGAUGAUGCCCUGCAGGUGACCGAAGGUCUGGAACCUUUGGUGGAGGCCAGAGAGCCUUGUGAUCCCACAAGGAUGGACGAUGAUCCCACAAGCAAAUAAAGAGUAAAAUUUACUUAACCAAGAGACUCACCACCACAGGAGAUCAUGAAUAUUUACUUAAGAAAGAAAGUAUUUGUCGAGGUACAAGGCCAGGGAAGAGUGCCGACAUGGCAAUAUUUCCCCCAAGCUACCCCUCACUCUCUCCCUACUUCUAAGCACUAUGGAGGUAGAGCUUCGCCUUGAAGUGAAACUCUUCUCUUCUCUCUUGUGGUGUGUUGGAGGGAUGCUCCUCUCCUCCUUAUAUAUGUGAAAACACCCGGGCACCAACAUCAAGAGGAUAA